CUGGAUAAAGGAAAAGAAAAAUAAACCAAAUAAGUACAAGUUACUUAAGAACCAAAUAGGACCUAAGAACAUACUUUUUUGUUUAAAAAAGUAAUCACACUUGUUGUCUUUUGGUGUCAAGCUCAUCUUCGUCAAACUCACAUCUUCAUAAUUCAAUCUCUUGAGAGCUCCAAUAAGAUUUAUCAUCCUGUAUUUAUCCUAAAAUUAGAUUUUACCAUAAUCAAUUGACCAUACGGUUGGACCACUAAAAGCAAACAAAAUGUAUACACAUAGUCCAUGAGUCCAUACAAGUUCAAGGAACAGGCCAAUAGAUUCUAAUCCUCCAAUCAAGGAAAUAAAACCAAUUAAGAUUGAAACUAUAUGAGUUUCUAAUAAGUCAAACUACUCCAAGGUGUCAACUAUAAAAAUCCUGAAGAACAAUCAACUAAAAAAAAUAAAAAAUAAAAAAAUAAAACACCCUAAAGAACAAUCAAGGGAUUUACUGAAACAGGGCCUUCAAAUAUCAAGUCAUUUAGCCUUAUGAUUAGGCUACUAAAGAAAGAAAAAAAAAAGUUUACUUUAUAGGAAAGCUAAUGUCUUUGAAACUUAGGAUUUCAAACAUGUAAUACACUGCUCUACUUGGAUUUAUUUCCUCUUGUUUUAAUGCGUAGUCCAACAUUCUUGCCCGGAUAAAAAAGAAGGGGGUUCUUGCUACCUAAGUCAAAGCUGACCAAUACUAUUGACUUUAUAAAACUAUGUCUUCACAAAAAAAAAUUCAAAACGCCAACUAAAUAUAAUAUGAAUUUCUUCGUUUGAAACUAGGGGUGGCACCAACCCCACCCCCUCCACUUAACAAAUGAACCACAGAGAUACCAUGGUUCAAAAUUCCAAUCUCCAACUACAAAUUCCAACUUCCAGCAUCUAAAUAGUUGACCACUGAAAAAUAACUUCUAUGGCCCUAAAGGAAAACCCCAAUUCAGCACUCACUCCAGACUAUGUAUGGCCAUGGGAUGAAUCAGAUCGAUCUAACAGAAACGUGUUAGAUCAAUAAGUCAUGACUUGUUAGAUCAAUCUAACAGAAACUUGUUAGAAUAGCUUCUUCAAAUGUAGCUUUAGUGAUCCGGGCACCUGUGGUCAAGAGCAGCUAUUCCUUUCUUAAUCUCUCUGCACAUAACUGGAGGAAUGAGAACAUAUAAGACCAACCACUAGGUGAAGACAAUGGAAAGCUAAUACAAUUAGUCAAUGCAAAGCUAAAAUGAUUGACCAUACGUUCCGUAAGCUGGGUGAAGAAACUAAUUACAUUUAUUUGGCAGCUUGGCUACCAGAUAGAGUUUUUGACCCAACCUGCUCAACUCGUAAGGUUUACACAGAAGGUGCCAGGGAUGUUCUCUCUGCUCUAAAUGGAAUUAAUGGUAAAUA